rnacentral:RNase_P_RNA from 1 species
AAGAAAGUGAGGAAAGUCCGAGCAUCAAAGAGCAGUCUGCUUGCUAACGGCAAGCCGGGGAAACCCGAGGAAGAGUGCAACAGAAAUAAACCGCCAUAAAAAUUUUUUUAUGGUAAGGAUGGAAACGCAGGGUAAGAGCCUACGAACCAAUUUGGUGACAAGUUGGUGCUGUAAACUCCAGAUGAUGCAAGACUAAGGGCACAUUGCCACCCCCAUUAGAGCAGUUAAUACUGUUCUGGCAAUAAGGAUUGCUCGUCCGCCCUUUUUGUUCGCAACAGACCUUGUUGGCAACAGCAAGGCAAGAUAGAUGACAGUUUUAAACAGAACUCGGCUUAUAGGCUAACUA